rnacentral:rRNA from 1 species
AGUACCUGAAGGAAGAGAAAGAAAUUCGAUUCCGUAAGUAGCGGCGAGCGAACGCGGAUUAGCCCAAACCAAUAAAGUUUUCUUUAUUGGGGUUGCGGACAUAUCAUAACGAAGAGGUAUCGUAAUUGAAGAGGUUUGGAAAGACCCACCACAGAAGGUAAUAGUCCUGUAUGUUAAACGAGAAGACUUCAGAUAUGAUCCAGAGUACCACGGGACACGUGAAACCCUGUGGGAAGCAGGAGGGACCACCCUCCAAGGCUAAAUACUACCUAGUGACCGAUAGCGUAUAGUACCGUGAGGGAAAGGUGAAAAGAACCCCGGGAGGGGAGUGAAAUAGAACCUGAAACCCUGCACUUACAAGCUGUGGAAGCACAUUUCUUGUGUGACCGCGUACUUUUUGUAGAACGGGCCAACGAGUUACGUUAAGUAGCAAGGUUAAGCACUUAAGGUGUGGAGCCGUAGCGAAAGCGAGUUUUAACUGAGCGUUCAGUUACUUGACGUAGACCCGAAACCGGGCGACCUACCCAUGAGCAGGAUGAAGCGAAAGUAAAAUUUCGUGGAGGUCCGAACCCACGAGCGUUGAAAAGCUCGGGGAUGACUUGUGGGUAGCGGUGAAAUUCCAAUCGAGCCCGGAGAUAGCUGGUUCUCCCCGAAAUAGCUUUAGGGCUAGCCUCAAGGUGAGAGAUACGGAGGUAGAGCACUGAAUGUCCUAGGGGGUAUUGCACCUACCGAAGACUAUCAAACUCCGAAUGCCGUCAUCUUAUACUUGGGAGUCAGACUGUGGGUGAUAAGAUUCAUAGUCGAAAGGGCAACAGCCCAGAUCGUCAGCUAAGGUCCCUAAAUGUAAGUUAAGUGGUAAAGGAUGUGGGAUUGCACAGACAACCAGGAUGUUGGCUUAGAAGCAGCCACUCAUUCAAAGAGUGCGUAAUAGCUCACUGGUCGAGUGAUCCUGCGCCGAAGAUUUCCGGGGCUAAAACUUACUACCGAAGCUACGGCAUCAGUAAUGAUGGGUAGGGGAGCUUCCCAUACGGGUUGAAGCAUGACCGUAAGGACAUGUGGACAGUAUGGGAGUGAGAAUGUUGGCAUGAGUAGCGAGAUGUGGGUGAGAAUCCCACAGGCCGUAAACCCAAGGUUUCCAGGGGAAGGUUCGUCCGCCCUGGGUUAGUCGGGACCUAAGCUGAGGCCGAAAGGCGUAGGUGAUGGACAACAGGUUGAUAUUCCUGUACUACCGAUAACCGUUUGAGAGAAGGGAUGACACAGUAGGAUAAGCUAAGCACACUGUUGGUUAUGUGUGCCCAAGCAUUGAGGCAGUCAAAGUAGGCAAAUCCGCUUUGAUAAUGCUGGGAUGUGAUGGGGAGCGAAAUUUAGUAGCGAAGUAGCUGAUUUCACACUGUCAAGAAAAGUCUCUAUCGAGGUUAAAGGUACCCGUACCGCAAACCGACACAGGUGGGUGAGGAGAGUAUCCUAAGGCCAGCGAGAGAACUGUUGUUAAGGAACUCGGCAAAAUGACCCCGUAACUUAGGGAUAAGGGGUGCCACCAUCAGGUGGCCGCAGAGAAUAGGCCCAAGCGACUGUUUACCAAAAACAUAGGUUUCUGCUAAGUCGCAAGACGAUGUAUAGGAGCUGACGCCUGCCCGGUGCUGGAAGGUUAAGGGGAUCUGUUAGAGCAAUCGAAGCAGUGAACUUAAGCCCCAGUAAACGGCGGCCGUAACUAUAACGGUCCUAAGGUAGCGAAAUUCCUUGUCGGGUAAGUUCCGACCCGCACGAAAGGCGUAACGAUUUGGGCACUGUCUCAACAACAGACUCGGUGAAAUUGUAAUUCCGGUGAAGAUGCCGGAUACCUGCGACAGGACGGAAAGACCCCAUGGAGCUUUACUGUAGCUUGACAUUGGGUCUUGGUACUACAUGUACAGGAUAGGUGGGAGGCUUUGAAACCAGGACGCCAGUUUUGGCGGAGCCAUCCUUGGGAUACCACCCUUGUAGUACUGGGACUCUAACCAUAGGCCAUGAAUCUGGUCUUGGGACACUGUCAGGUGGGCAGUUUGACUGGGGCGGUCGCCUCCCAAAAGGUAACGGAGGCGCUCAAAGGUUCUCUCAGUACGGUCGGAAAUCGUACGUAGAGUGUAAAGGCAAAAGAGAGCUUGAUUGCAAGACAUACAGGUCGAGCAAGGAUGAAAAUCGGACUUAGUGAUCCGGUGGUUCUGCGUGGAAGGGCCAUCGCUCAACGGAUAAAAGCUACCCUGGGGAUAACAGGCUUAUCUCCCCCAAGAGUCCACAUCGACGGGGAGGUUUGGCACCUCGAUGUCGGCUCAUCACAUCCUGGGGCUGUAGUAGGUCCCAAGGGUUGGGCUGUUCGCCCAUUAAAGUGGUACGCGAGCUGGGUUCAGAACGUCGUGAGACAGUUCGGUCCCUAUCCGUCGCAGGCGUAGGAAAUUUGAGAAGACCUGUCCUUAGUACGAGAGGACCGGGAUGGACGUACCUCUGGUGUACCAGUUGUUCUGCCAAGGGCAUGGCUGGGUAGCUAUGUACGGAAUGGAUAAGCGCUGAAAGCAUCUAAGCGCGAAGCCAACUUCAAGAUAAGAUUUCCCACCG